rnacentral:rRNA from 1 species
UACGUAGGGUGCAAGCGUUAAUCGGAAUUACUGGGCGUAAAGCGUGCGCAGGCGGUGAUGUAAGACAGGUGUGAAAUCCCCGGGCUUAACCUGGGAACUGCAUUUGUGACUGCAUCGCUGGAGUGCGGCAGAGGGGGAUGGAAUUCCGCGUGUAGCAGUGAAAUGCGUAGAUAUGCGGAGGAACACCGAUGGCGAAGGCAAUCCCCUGGGCCUGCACUGACGCUCAGUGCACGAAAGCGUGGGGAGCGAACAGG